CUUAAAUUAUGUAGAAAAUAGUGUGAAGUUACAAACCAACAUUACAAUAAUUCUAAUUGUUAGACUAAUAAUUGUUUUUAAAAAUGUAUUAAUCUCUUAAAUCAUGUGGAAAACAAAAAGUGGAAUUAUAAAGCAUUGUUACAAUAUAUUAGCUUUUAUCAUUGCUCAUGUAUUUACCUUUAUUGAUAUGUUUGUUCUAUUAUACAGCUUUGAGUUACUGUCUGCUGUGCCAUAAUUUCACCCUGUAGAAUUCCUUGAGCAUUUCUCACAGGGCAGGUCUACUAGUAACAGACUCCUACAGCUUUUGUGUAUUUGAGAACACCUUAAUUUCUCCCUCACUUUUGAAGGACAGUUUUGCCAGAUAUGGGAUUCUUGGUUCACAAUUGUUUUUUUUCUUUUAGCACAUUGAAUGUAUUAGCCCACUGCCUUCUUACCUCCAAAGUUUCUGAUUUGGAAUUUGCUGACAAUCUAAUUGAGGGUCAACUGUAUUUAAAGAGUUCUUUGUCUCUUGCUGCCCUCAAGAUUCUCUUUGUCUUUUAAAAGUUUAAUUAUAAUGUGUCUUGGUGUCGUUCUCUUUGAGUUCAUCUUACUUGUAGUUUGUUAAUCUUCUUGAAUGUUUAUAUUCAUGGUUUUCAACAAAUUUGGAAAGUUUUCAGCCAUUAUUUUUUCACGUAUUCUCUCUGCCUCUUUCUCUCUCUCUUCUGCUUCUUGGACUCCCACAAUAUGUUUGUUGGUCCACUUGGUGGUGUCCCACAGGUCCUUUAGACACUGCUUUUUUUUUCAAUCUUUUUCUUUCUGUUCCUCAGACUUGAUAUUUUCUAUCAUCUUAUCUUCAAGUUCACUGAUUCUUUCUUUUGCUUGCUUAAAUCUAACUUUGAAUCCCUCUAAUAAAUGUUUAAUUUUAGUUAUAUAUUUUGGCUCCAGAAUUUCUUUUUGGUUUCCUUUUAGGUUUUUAAUAUCUUUUUGAUACUUUCAUUUUGUCCAUAUGUUGCUUUCUUCUGCUUUCUUGACUUCUUUUUUUUGGUUGGUUGGUUGGUUUGAUACAGGGACUGCUCACUUUGUCGCUCAGGCUGGAGUACAGUGGCAUGAUCUCAGACCACUGCAACUUCUGCCUCCCAGGCUCAAGCAAUUCUCCUGUCUCAGCCCCCCAAGUAGCUGGAGCUACAGCUUCUUUUGUGGCAAUUUUCUCCCAAGAGGGACCUCCUCCUACAGUGGACCUCCUCCCCAGUGGUACCUUGAGCCAUCAGAACACCUCGCUUUAGAUCUGUGCAUCCCAAAUUUCAUCAAAUCCAAUGCCCAUUUCUGUGAUCACUCAUUCUGGGGGCAGCCCACUGGCAUGUAAUGAGCAGUCCUAUGGAGAGGCCCAAGUGACAGUAGCCAUGUGAGUGACACUGGAAGUGAAGCCUGCAGCUCCAGUCAAGCCCUUAGAAGACUGCAGCCCUGGCUGACAGCUUGACAGCAACCUCGUGAGAGACCCUCAGCUCGAACAACUCAGCUAACCUCUUCCUGGUCCUCAAAAACUGUAUGAGAUGAAAAAAAAGUUUGUUUUUUUUUAGCUACCAAGUUUUGGGAUAAUUUGUUAUCCUAAUAUAUUUUUUAAUACCUAGAAGUAAGGUGCUACCGUAAUAAAUACCUAAAAUGUAGGCACAGCUAGGAAACUAGACAGUGAAGGUAGCUGGAAAGAAUUGAAGAAGCAUAGUAGUAAAAGUCUCAAGAGUCUUGAACAAAACAUGGGAAAAAAUUUGGACUUUGACCAGGCUGCUGGUGGAGGUUUAAAAGAAAGUGAGAAAAAUCUUGUUGAAAACAGGACAGGGAAUCCUUACUAUGGAGUGGCAUAAAUCUUAGUAAUAUUGUUGUCUGCAGUAAUGUAUGUGGUGGAAAUGUACCUGGUAAACUGGGUGAUCUAAUUUGCUAUUCAUAAAGACAUAAAGACUCUCAGCUUUUACAGAUGGUGAAAAAUGCUAAAAUUAAGAAAUGGCUGAAGGACAGAGGUCAAAUCCUGGGCACCAUCAUGGAAACAGAAUCCAAAGAUGAAGCUGAGGUGUGACUAUAAAUCCUUUGUUAUGACCUCAGGAAUAUCAAAAGUGGAUCCUCAGAGUACAAGUUUAGUCACACAAAGGCUCUCUAAAGUUUUUAAGGCUAUGACUCACAGAUUCUUUCAAAAACAGGGCUCAUAAGAAGCUUAAGAGCAUAGUUUUUCAGCAGAAUCACAAGGUGGGAAAGAGAUUAUCUCAAAGAGAUUUUUGGGUGUGACUUUUGUCUGAUGGAAUGUACCCCUAAAAAUUCAUAGAAGAUUCACAAAUUUUUAAAAAGAAUUAUAUUAGUAGAAACAUGCCAACUAGAACUCAAGGGGACAGAGACAGUAUAAAAUGAAAAAAGGCUUUUGUACUCACUUUGCCCCUGUUUCACUGCAGGUUAAGAAAAAAUUUCAGCUGCAUACACGUACUAACUUGCAUGAAAAAGAAAGAAUAGCCAAGCAUGGUGACUCACUCCUGUAACCCCAGCACUUUGGGAGGACAAGGUGGGAAGACCACUUGAGCCCAGGAGUUUGAAUCAGCCUGGGCAACAUAGCAAGACUCUGUCUCUUUAAAAAAAAGGAUGACUCAGAAGGGGAAGCUAAGAGCCUCAGAGAAUAACUCAUGCGUAGAAAUAGGACUAAAUCCUAAGGCGCUUCCAACAUUUGCCUGGCUGGAUUUCAGAGCUGCUGUGGGGACAUAGUAGUAUGUCCAGUACCUUCCCUUUUUGAAUAUUUAAUGCAUAUAGUGUUUAUUUCUGUUCCACCAUUGUGUGUUUGGGGGGUGUGUGUGUGUGUGUGUCUAUGUGUGUGCAUGUUAGUUUCAGAUUGAGAGGAACUAUACCCAAGGAACUAGAGUUAAGAAAUUAUACCUAAUGAACCUCUAUGUACCUGGUCCUGAUUUAAAUGACAAGACUAUAGACUUUGAGUUGAUGCUGUAAUGAGACAAGAAUUUUAGAAGUGUUGGGAUGGAGUGGAUGUGUUUUGUAUGUUGGAGGGACUUGAUUCAUUUGAGCCUAGAAAGCAGACUAGGGUAGCCAGCCCCCAAGAUUGUCUCCUCCUGGUAUUCAUACCCUUGUAUAAUUCCCCUCCCACAAUGUACUAGAAUUUAUCUGUGUGACAGAAUAUGGCAGAAGUAAUGAUAUGUCACUUCUGAGAUUAGGUUAUAAAAGACAUUGUGGCUACCAUCUGUCAUCACUCACUCAAAGGGAAGCCAACAAUCAUGCAAUGAGAAUCUCAGGUGAUGAGGACCUGAGACCUGUUGUCAACCAUGUGAAUAAGCUUGGGAGCAGAUUCUCCAGCCCCAGUCAAGCCUCAGAAGGCUUCAGCCCUAGGUGACAGCUUGAUGAUAAUCUCAUAAGGCAGAACCACCCAACUAAGCCACUCCUGGAUUCCUGACCCUGACACUGACCCUCAAAAUGGUGUGAGGUAAUAAAUGUUGUUUUAAGCUCUUAAAUUUGGGGGUAAUUUUUUAACGCAGCCAUCAAUAAUUAAUACACACCUCUAAUGUAUUUGUACUUAGACCACAUACCAUGGGAUCUCACAAAAGAGCAAUUUUAAAGCUUGCUUGGGUAGUCGAUAUCUUUAUUUUCAGAACAUAUUCUUCAUGCAUAAAGAAGCAAAGACUCUUUCCUUCAGUAUAAUCCUUUUGAUAGAAGCAAAAACUUAAGUCUGGCAGUGUUCCUAAUAUAUGUUUUUCACACUUUUCCUUUAUUUUAGGCAAUUCUAAAUAGACAAAAUCAACUUGAGAGUGUUCUUGGAUUUAAUUUAGAAACAAGCCCAGUUAAGCUCUUCAUAAAACUUUUAAAUUGGGCUGGCUUUUAUUUUAGGAAUAUGAAUGUUCUUGGAAUUCUUCCAAAUCGCUAAGCAAUAAUCUUUUACGCAAUCCCCUUUAUUUUUUUCUGAAAAAAAGGAGUCUAGUUAGUUCUUUUAAGUUUUACUUUUUUGUAAAGGUAUCUUUAAAACACCCAGAUGCCUCUAGACAUUCAAGAUAGAACGAGUCACUCACAACUUCUCUCUGCCUAUGUUUCAUCUAUUUUUCUGUGCUGUUGUGUGAAUUUUGACGUUUUAUUUUGUCAAGAAUAGUGGUGAAAAACCAAUGAAUUUUUAAAUGAUUCAACUCUAACAUUUCCUACAUUCUCCUUCCACAAAGUAAAUACACAGUAACCAUCAUUCAUUGUUACCUUCUCCAUCUCACAACUGCCUUUCACCCCUCAAGUUAUUGUGCAUUUC
rnacentral:lncRNA from 1 species